CCUACGGGUGGCAGCAGUGGGGAAUAUUGGGCAAUGGGCGCAAGCCUGACCCAGCAACGCCGCGUGAAGGAAGAAGGCUUCCGGGUUGUAAACUUCUUUUAAGGGGGACGAACAAAUGACGGUACCCCUUGAAUAAGCGACGGCUAACUACGUGCCAGCAGCCGCGGUAAUACGUAGGUGGCAUGCGUUAACCGGAUUUAUUGGGUGUAAAGGGCGGGUGGGCGGGAGCGCAAGUCAGAUGUGAAAACUCAGGGCUCAACCCUGAGCCUGCAUUUGAAACUGUGUUUCUUGAGUGCUGGAGAGGCAAUCGGAAUGCCGUGUGUAGCGGUGAAAUGCGUAGAUAUACGGAGGAACACCAGUGGCGAAGGCGGAUUGCUGGACAGUAACUGACGCUGAGGCGCGAAAGCGUGGGGAGCAAACAGGAUUAGAUACCCCAGUAGUC
rnacentral:rRNA from 1 species